ACCACUACUGAAACAUAGAGACAGCAACAUAUGAAACGUUUUAACUUAACCAACGAAACAAGCAGACAUGACAUAGAUCUUACAACAGAAAUAUAUAUAAGAUAAAAACAGAAAAGACAUGAUAGAAUAUACGAAACAUAUCCAGAAUAGUAUGCGCAACAAUAUAAAUACACUACUGCAACAUGUAUGGAUAGGAAGACAAAACACAGUAGAAAGAUGAACGGAUUAUACCCUCCCAUGUGCUCCGAUGAUCCCGAUCCUUGACCAAUUUCCAUGAUGUAGAGGACGAAGACAAUCUUUCCACCGAGAAGAAAAAAUCCGCCCGAACCAGCUUGAGGAAGACGAACAGCAGCGAUGGAUUGGCC
rnacentral:lncRNA from 1 species